rnacentral:rRNA from 1 species
GACGAACGCUGGCGGCGUGCUUAACACAUGCAAGUCGAACGGUAAGGCCCUUUCGGGGGUACACGAGUGGCGCACGGGUGAGUAACACGUGGGUGAUCUGCCCUGCACUUUGGGAUAAGCCUGGGAAACUGGGUCUAAUACCGGAUAGGACUACGCGAUGCAUGUCGUGUGGUGGAAAGCUUUUGCGGUGUGGGAUGGGCCCGCGGCCUAUCAGCUUGUUGGUGGGGUGACGGCCUACCAAGGCGACGACGGGUAGCCGGCCUGAGAGGGUGUCCGGCCACACUGGGACUGAGAUACGGCCCAGACUCCUACGGGAGGCAGCAGUGGGGAAUAUUGCACAAUGGGCGCAAGCCUGAUGCAGCGACGCCGCGUGGGGGAUGACGGCCUUCGGGUUGUAAACCCCUUUCAGCACAGACGAAGCGUAAGUGACGGUAGGUGCAGAAGAAGCACCGGCCAACUACGUG